rnacentral:sRNA from 1 species
UUUUUCCAAAUGACAUCAUACCAGGAAGCCCUGUUCGGAAAACAAAAGAUAAGCUGCCCCUUGGUGAAGUGAGGAGAGCCAGAGCCUCCCUCCCCUUAGCACUUGCAGCAGUGUAGACCCCAGGGCUGCGGGAACGUUGUGAAACGCACAGGACCAGUUUCCUACAGGGAAGACUAGGCCAGAGGUUUUCCAACUUCCUUCAAAGGCAUUUUUCCUAAAUAAAUCUUAAACAGACCGCUAUACUCUAAAGUUGGUAAUAGGAGAGCUUCUCUGAGAAACCUGUCCUGCCUGCCCCCUCACCACCCGCAGCCUUCCAGCAGGGCAGCUCCCUGGGGCUUGGUUCAGAAACCUUGUGCUGGAGGAGAGAUGCCUAGACUGGGAGAGAUGGGGAAAGGAGUUUGGGCCUGAGCGGGAAGGGUUUGAGGGAGUCCCAGUGUCUCAGGCAUGUUGGGGGUGAGUGGAUGCUGUGGAGAUGCGAGGCGCCUGGCCCAGGACUCGGGUCUGAGUCGCCUCCCAUCUCUCCUUUGCCAUCCCCAGAUCCCCGACCAUUUCCGGCCACCUUUGAGGAAACCAGGGAAGUGGUGUGCCAUGCACGUGCGUGUGGCUUACAUGAUCCUGAGACACCAGGAGAAAAUGAAGGGUGACUCCCACAAGCUUGACUUUCGGAACGACCUCCUGCCCUGCCUUCCGGGGCCCUAUGGGGCCCUGCCCCCUGGGCAGGAGCUCUCCCACCCGGCCUCCCUCUUCACUGCGACUGGUGCCGUCCACGCUGCAGCCAACCCUUUCACGGCAGCUCCCGGGGCCCACGGACCCUUCCUGAGCCCCAGCACCCACAUUGAUCCCUUUGGGCGUCCCACAAGCUUCGCCUCUUUGGCUGCCCUCUCCAACGGGGCCUUUGGAGGCCUGGGCAGCCCCACAUUCAACUCCGGCGCCGUCUUUGCCCAGAAAGAAAGCCCAGGGGCCCCACCAGCCUUCGCCUCCCCACCGGACCCAUGGGGCCGCCUGCACCGCAGUCCUCUGACCUUUCCUGCCUGGGUCCGGCCCCCUGAGGCCGCCCGGACUCCAGGCUCAGACAAGGAGCGGCCUGUGGAGCGGAGGGAGCCCUCCAUCACCAAGGAGGAGAAGGACAGGGACCUCCCCUUCUCACGGCCCCAGCUCCGAGUUUCUCCUGCUACUCCCAAGGCCCGGGCUGGUGAGGAGGGGCCUCGGCCAACCAAGGAAUCUGUGCGGGUAAAGGAAGAGCGGAAGGAGGAGGCUGCCGCCGCCGCCGCUGCUGCUGCUGCCGCCGCCGCUGCCGCCGCCGCAGCAGCCACUGG